GGUGGUUGUAGCUCAGCUGGUUAGAGCGCUGGAUUGUGGUUCCAGAGGUCGCCGGUUCGAAACCGGUCUUCCACCC
rnacentral:tRNA from 5 species